rnacentral:rRNA from 1 species
UACAGAGGUCUCAAGCGUUGUUCGGAUUCAUUGGGCGUAAAGGGCGCGUAGGCGGGCUGUCAAGUCUGGGGUGAAAUCCCGCGGCUCAACCGUGGAACUGCCUUAGAUACUGACGGCCUCGAGGGAGGCAGGGCGAGCGGAACGGGUGGUGGAGCGGUGAAAUGCGUUGAUAUCACUCGGAACUCCGGUGGCGAAAGCGGCUCGCUGGUCCUUUUCUGACGCUGAGGCGCGAAAGCUAGGGGAGCAAACGGG